UUAAACUAUUAAGAGCGCAUGGCGGAUGCCUUGGCAAUAAGGGCCGAAGAAGGGCGUAGCAAGUCUACGAUAAGCCUCGACUAGCUGUCUAGCAAGCUUAAUCGAGGAUUCCCGAAUGUGGAAACACAUCUUUAGUGAUACAAAUCCUUUUUUGGAUUUGAGGUAAGUGGGGGAACUGAAACAUCUAAGUACCCUGAGGAAAAUAAAUCGAAUGAGAUUCCCUGAGUAGCGGUGAGCGAAACGGGAGCAGCCUAAACUUUCAGAUCUUAACGGGUUGGAGCCUUUUGAUCUGUUUUGGUUGUAGGAGUCUAUAUGAGUAGCUCCAACUACUCAGAAGAGUAAAAAAUUAUUUCUUUAUAAGAAUGAAGCUUGGAAAAGCCAGCCAUAGAGGGUGAUAGCCCCGUAUUUUAAAAAGAAAUAACUCUUCAUAGAUUUCCUGAGUACCACGGGACACGUGAAAUCCUGUGGGAAUCUGGGGAGACCACUCUCCAAGGCUAAAUACCCUUGUUGACCGAUAGCGAACUAGUACCGUGAGGGAAAGGUGAAAAGAACCCCGAAAGGGGAGUGAAAUAGAACUGAAACCGUGUGCUUACAAGCCGUGGGAGCAUCUUAGGAUGUGACCGCGUGCCUAUUGAAGAAUGAGCCGACGAGUUAAUCUAUAUAGCAAGGUUAAGACAUUACGUGUUGUAGCCGAAGCGAAAGCAAGUCUGAAUAGGGCGUUUUAGUUGUAUGGAUUAGACCCGAAACCGUGUGAGCUAUCCAUGACCAGGGUGAAACGAAAUUAACGUUUCGUGAAGGCCCGAACCCUUGUACGUUGCAAAGUGCUGGGAUGAGUUGUGGAUAGAGGUGAAAUGCCAAUCGAACACGGAGAUAGCUGGUUCUCCCCGAAAUGUAUUUAGGUACAGCCUUAGGUAUUAACUAAUGGAGGUAGAGCACUGGAUGAGCUAGCGGGCGCAAGCAUUAGCAAACUCAACCAAACUCCGAAUGCCAUUAGCCGAAUCCUAGGAGUGAGACAGUGACGGAUAAGCGCCAUUGUCGAAAGGGAAACAGCCCAGAUCGCAAGCUAAGGUCCCUAAGUGAUGACUAAGUGGUAAAGGAGGUGGAGUCGCCCAGACAGCUAGCAGGUUGGCUUAGAAGCAGCCAUCCUUUAAAGAGUGCGUAACAGCUCACUAGUCGAGGGGUUCUGCGCCGAAAAUUAUCGGGGCUAAGUCAUUCACCGAAGCUGCGGGAUUCUUUAUUGAAUCGGUAGGGGAGCGUUCUCAAUGCGUUGAAUCUGGACCGUGAGGUUUAGUGGAGCGUUGAGAAGUGAGAAUGUCGGCAUGAGUAGCGACAAUCUUUGUGAGAAUCAAAGACACCGGAAGUCCAAGGUUUCCUACGCAACGUUGAUCGGCGUAGGGUUAGUCGGUCCUAAGGAGUAACCGAAAGGUGAAUUCGAUGGACAGCUGGUCAAAAUUCCAGCACCGUAAUUAUCCUGUUAUGCAAAGAAGGGACGCGAUAAGGAAUGCUCGGCAUGCCUAUUGGACAUGGCGUGUGGAAUCCCGUAGGGAAGUGAUUGUGGUUAAAAGAACAGUUACGUUAUUAACUGAGGGGGUUUCAAACUUUAAGGCUUCGGCCUUAAAGAAUCUAGCAAGAACUACGUCGCCAAGAAAAGCUUCGUUGAUAGGGAUAUUAUGACCGUACCGAAAACCGACACAGGUGGACAGGGGUAAAAGCCCCAAGGUGAACGAGAAAACCAUCCUCAAGGAACUCGGCAAAUUAACCCCGUAACUUCGGAAUAAGGGGAGCCUGAGACAUAAUAGACUUCGCGUCUAAAGUGUUUUCAGGUCGCAGAGAAUUGGUCUGAGCGACUGUUUAUCAAAAACACAGGUCCGUGCUAAAGCGAAAGCUGACGUAUACGGGCUGACGCCUGCCCAGUGCCGGUAGGUUAAUGCAAGGAGUGAGAGCUUUGAGUUGAAGCCCCGGUGAACGGCGGCCGUAACUAUAACGGUCCUAAGGUAGCGAAAUCCCUUGUCGGGUAAGUUCCGACCUGCACGAAAGGCGUAACGACUUGGACACUGUCUCGAGGGUGGACUCGGUGAAAUUGCAUGACCCGUA
rnacentral:rRNA from 1 species